UCUUUGGUAGUAUAGUGGUUAGUAUCCAGCCUUGUCACGGCUGAGACCCGGGUUCAAUUCCCGGCCAGAGAGUGCCUCUUUUU
rnacentral:tRNA from 1 species